rnacentral:misc_RNA from 1 species
GAUGAAGAACGCAGCGAAAUGCGAUAAGUAAUGUGAAUUGCAGAAUUCAGUGAAUCAUCGAAUCUUUGAACGCACAUUGCGCCCGCCAGUAUUCUGGCGGGCAUGCCUGUCUGAGCGUCAUUUCAACCCUCAUGCCCCUAGGGCGUGGUGUUGGGGAUCUGCCAAAGCCCGCGAGGGACGGCCGGCCCCUAAAUCUAGUGGCGGACCCGUCGUGGCCUCCUCUGCGAAGUAGUGAUAUUCCGCAUCGGAGAGCGACGAGCCCCUGCCGUUAAACCCCCAACUUUCCAAGGUUGACCUCAGAUCAGGUAGGAAUACCCGCUGAACUUAAGCAUAUCAAUAAGCGGAGGA